rnacentral:rRNA from 1 species
GUCUACGGCCAUGCCACCCUCAACAAGCCUGAUACCGUCUGAUCUCAGAAGCUAAGCAGGGUUGGGCCUGGUUAGUGCUUGGACGGGAGACCGCCUAGGAAGACCGGAUGCUGUAGGCG